rnacentral:rRNA from 1 species
GGGGAAUAUUGGACAAUGGGCGAAAGCCUGAUCCAGCCAUGCCGCGUGUGUGAAGAAGGCCUUUUGGUUGUAAAGCACUUUAAGCGGGGAGGAGGGCACCACGGUUAAUACCCGUGAAUGUCGGACGUUACCCGCAGAAUAAGCACCGGCUAACUCUGUGCCAGCAGCCGCGGUAAUACAGAGGGUGCGAGCGUUAAUCGGAAUUACUGGGCGUAAAGCGCGCGUAGGCGGCUUGUUAAGUCAAAUGUGAAAUCCCCGAGCUUAACUUGGGCAUUGCAUUCGAUACUGGCAAGCUAGAGUAUGGGAGAGGAAGGUAGAAUUCCAGGUGUAGCGGUGAAAUGCGUAGAGAUCUGGAGGAAUACCGAUGGCGAAGGCAGCCUUCUGGCCUAAUACUGACGCUGAGGUGCGAAAGCAUGGGGAGCAAAC